CCUUGAGUGGAGUCUUCGGACGAAGCGAAGUGAUAAAAGUUCUUCCAAGAAAAGCGAGUAUAGCAGCCGGUACCGCAAACCGACACAGGUAGACGGGAUGAGUAUUCUAAGGCGCUCGGGUGAGCCGUGGAGAAGGAACUAGGCAAAUUGAUGCUGUAACUUCGGGAUAAAGCAUACCAUCUUCGGAUGGUCUCAGUAAAAUGGUUCAACCAACUGUUUAACAAAAACACAGGGCCCUGCAAAAUCGAAAGAUGACGUAUAGAGCCUGAUACCUGCCCGGUGCUGGAAGGUUAAGGAAGGGUGUUCGUCGCAAGACAAAGCUCCUGACUGAAGCCCCAGUAAACGGCGGCCGUAACGAUAACGGUCCUAAGGUAGCGAAAUUCCUUGUCGGGUAAGUUCCGACCUGCACGAAUGGUCUAAUGAGUUGAACGCUGUCUCCUCCACGAGCCCGGUGAAAUUGUAGUAUCGGUGAAGAUGCCGGUUACCCGCCACGGGACGGAAAGACCCCGUGAACCUUCACUAUAGCCUUGCAUUGAUUUUGAAUUCCGGAUGUGUAGAAUAGUUGGGACGCUUUGAAGCCUUGCCGCCAGGUAGGGUGGAGCGGUCGUUGAAAUACCAACCUUCUUUGAUUUAGGAUCUAAUCCCUGACGGGAGACAGUGCAUGGUGGGUAGUUUGACUGGGGUGGUCGCCUCCUAAAGAGUAACGGAGGCUUGCAAAGGUACCCUCAGUACGGUUGGUAAUCGUACGUAGAGCGCAUUAGUAUAAGGGUGCUUGACUGUGAGGCACACAAGCCGAGCAGGGACGAAAGUCGGCUAAAGUGAUCCGGCGGUUCUGUAUGGAAGGGCCGUCGCUCAAAGGAUAAAAGGUACUCCGGGAUAACAGGCUGAUCUCCCCCAAGAGCUCAUAUCGACGGGGAGGUUUGGCACCUCGAUGUCGGUUCGUCACAUCCUGGGGCUGGAGAAGGUCCCAAGGGUUCGGCUGUUCGCCGAUUAAAGUGGCACGUGAACUGGGUUCAGAACGUCGCAAGACAGUUCGGUCCCUAUCUGUGGUGGGCGCAAGUAAAUUGAGAGAACAUGACCUUAGUACGAGAGGACCGGGUCGUACGUACCGCUGGUGUAUCAGUUAUGCCGCCAGGUGUAAUGCUGAGUAGCUAUGUACGGACAGGAUAAACGCUGAAAGCAUCUAAGCGUGAAACCUAUCUCAAGAUGAGUUUACUUUUAAGGGCCGUCAAAGACUAUGACGUUGAUAGGCUAUAGGUGUAAAGCUGGUAACAGCAAAGCCAAGUAGUACUAAUUGCCCGUACGCUUUAACG
rnacentral:rRNA from 1 species